rnacentral:misc_RNA from 1 species
UCUGGCUUAUAGCUCAGCGGUCUCGCUAGAGUGCCCAACUUAAUGAUGGUAACUAGCGACGAGGGUUGCGCUCGUUGCGGGACUUAACCCAACAUCUCACAACACGAGCUGACGACAGCCAUGCAGCACCUGUCACCGCGUCCCCGAAGGGAAUUCACCGCUUUCACGGCUAUGCGCGGGAUGUCAAGUCUGGGUAAGGUUCUUCGCGUAGCAUCGAAUUAAACCACAUGCUCCACCGCUUGUGCGGGCCCCCGUCAAUUCCUUUGAGUUUUAAUCUUGCGACCGUACUUCCCAGGCGGGAUACUUAAUGCGUUAGCUUCGUCACCGGAGCGAUUAGGAACUCCGACGACUAGUAUCCAUCGUUUAGGGCGUGGACUAC